GUCAAACUCAGGGUUUAUUGUAAAACACACGGUAAUGGGGGGAGCAGGAAAAGGGGCUGAGCUGGACCCAAGGAAAGAAACAAUAAGCAUCCAAAACACCCCUAAGCUAGACUAGCCUAUUUUAACAACAACUAACCAAAAAUACAGUGGGUGGUCCGCCCAGUUCUAACUAGUGUUUUUAACAAAGUCUACCUACGGGUAGUGUAUGCCCAUGGGCGACUUGUCUUGGUUUCCCCUUUUCCCACCAGCAAUCAAACACCAUAACCAAAAACAAUACUCACAGGAGAUGACAAAGUGAUUUGGAGGUGCUCAAACAAAAGAGAGAGUAAGACACAGAGAGGUUGAGACACACAGAGAGGUUGAGACACACAGAGAGGUUGAGACACACAGAGAGGUUGAGACACACAGAGAGGUUGAGACACAAAGAGAGGUUGAGACACAAAGAGAGGUUGAGACACAAAGAGAGGUUGAGACACAAAGAGAGGUUGAGACACAAAGAGAGGUUAAGACAAAGAGGUUAAGACAAAGAGGUUAAGACACAAAGAGAGGUUAAGACACAAAGAGAGGUUAAGACACAAAGAGAGGUUAAGACACAAAGAGAGGUUAAGACACAAAGAGAGGUUAAGACACAAAGAGAGGUUAAGACACAAAGAGAGGUUAAGACACAAAGAGAGGUUAAGACACAAAGAGAUCUACAUACAUGGCAUUUACAGAGAGAGAUUGAGCUCUAGAGCAAACAAAUGAUGGGGUUUUUAAACCAAGGGAAAGGAACUGUGAUAGGGUAGGAAACAGGAGGAGGUGUGUCUUCUGAUUGAUGAUUGAUUGUUGACUGAUUGGGGAGUGAUGAUGUUCACCUGUGAGGGGAGAAGGAGAGAAAAGAAACACACACAGGAUACUUGUAUCCGUAACAAUUACCUUUAACAGGGAAUUUAUUCUUCCUUUACACAGUAAUUUGGGGGAAAUGGGCUGGAUGGAACCAAAGCAAAGAAAGUAAAAGUUAAAGAGCCCCCUCUCUUAUUUUACCUAUUCUUAAUGCCACCUGGCGUGCUAACCAAAAUACAGGGGGUGGUCCACCCAGGUCUUACCUAGUGUGCUAAGCACUC
ensembl:lncRNA